UGAAUGAGUUAAAUAUAGUUACAUGAGGUGGACCCGACCUCCGUGUCAGUCGCCAUUGUUUGCUACGUCAUGUUGAAUACGGUUGUUGCACAAAACGGUCCAGAAUACGACGUGUUAGCGUUAAAUUUUUAGUGCUUAUACGACAGGAAAUGAAAUCAGUGGUGCGCCACCAGAAAGUGUCCCCUGUUGGUUUCUCAGUUGGUUGCGGUUUGCAACUUUACCACCAGAUGCCGCCAGAAAAUUACACACAUUAAGUUACAAUUUUGUUUUUCCUGUUCAGGAUUUCUUCUCUCCUGACUGAGAAGAAAGAAUUACUUUAUGGUUUUUUUCUCUUUUCUUCCACACAAUCCCUCACACAUGACUUUUGCAGUCCAAAGUUUUUCUCUUCCUGCUGGCACACAACAACUAUACACUUUGCUGCUCGGUGAAACCUCCCAACAAGUGACCUUUUUUUUUUUCCUUCCGCUCGUCUUAUCUUUUCAGCCUCAUUUAAAAAAAACAGUCCUCUCUAAUAAGAAGUUAUAAAUAGAGCUGGUGUGCUCAUGCCUGCCUGUGCCCAGGAAGUGGACGGCGCCAGUUUGGCCCCGGGCUCUGACCGCAUGUCUGGGGAGAAAAAGCAGAAAGAUCGGCUUUCAGAUGCUCCUUCAAAUACCAACACCGGAUAUCAGCCCACGGUAUCGUCUUUCAGGAAACCAGGCCAGUAGCAUCUGAGACUGCGAUCAUUUUUUUUGUGACAAGUAACAUUCACUUAGAUGAAAGAAGAAGGAGGCUUCUUUCUCACCAAGCCAGUCGGCGCCAGAACCUGGUGAGACCCAGCUCACACACCUGCACAACUGAGACGUGACAGAUUAAUAGCAGAAAGACACUGGUCUGCCACACUCACGGAGAAAGCACAUCAAAAGAACAAGCCAUGAGGGAGACGUUUUUAUUUUCCAACAGGAACCAGAGCCCCUCGUGCCCUGAAACCUCAUCUGAGGAAAGCCGUGUACAUGGUGCCCCAUGUCAGCGCCUCAGAAACCCCUCCGCUUCCUAACAUCCAUCUCGCUCCUGGAGAAUAUUCCCAUGGUGCAUCUGAGCUUUCACUGAAACUCUGAUGGAAUGCACCAAAAUGGUCUUUUCAUUAGACGGAGCAGCAGCAGCAGCAGCAGCAGCGUGUAUUACCUGAUGCAGAAGAGGAGCUCUGGUGAAAAUCUCAGAUGUGAUUGUAUAAAGUAACAAAGUGAUUUAGAAGUUCCCAAUUUUUGCAGUCUUAUUUUUAUGGGUGUAUUAAAUGACAACCAGGUCUGCCGUCGUUUACAGAAUUCUUGACAAACAAAAGGGGCAGCAGUGAACACAGAUGUGCACACACAGUGUUCCACCGUACCGACCCAAACCCCAGACUCGUGUUAUAUGUGAAUGAAUUUCUAAGAUUUAUCUAAUUGUCAAAAGUCACAGUUUCUUCUUUUUUCUCCCAGUAAAAAAAGCAGAAGUGUAUAAUUUUGCUGAUUACAUGAUACUGAUAUCAUGUGAUGUCGUGGUUAUUGCCGAGUCAUGUGGCAACAUUUCACAGUUUGUCCAUAAAUGGAGAAAAAAAUGGGAAGGUUCAUGUGGUGCAUGUUGUGUAUUUGUUCAGUUCCAUAUUCCAUUUAUCCAAAUAUUUCAUGGAGGCACACUGAAAAAAAAGCACUGGUGACCCCUGUGACCUCAAAUGAGCCAAGAGUUGUUUUUUUUAUCUGAACAGUUUGUGCUCACGCACAUACAAAUUGUGAAUUAAUUACAUUUCUGUGUUUGUAUGUGUACAAAUAUACACAUAUAUUCUCCCAAGCUUUGAUUUUGCGCGUGUAGUUUGUCAAGAAACGUACUAACGAAUCAAAUAAGAAAUCUGUGAAAGUCAUAUUCAUCAAGUGAUUUGAAUGUAAACCUCAGAACUUCUAGGAAACCAAAUCAGCUGCAUUACAGGCAAAUUAUUAAUAGCCUGUAUAUAUAGUUUUAUUUUAAUAUAUUUUCCCCAUACAAAUAUGUAAUUUUAAAAAAAGUUUAAACUACAAUGACAUUUGAUGAGUUGUGUUUAUCCUCUCAU